GAGGUGAUAGCUCAGUGGUAGAGUGUAUGCUUUGCAUGCAUAGCAUAGGGUCCUGGGUUCAAUCCCCAGCACCUCC
rnacentral:tRNA from 1 species